CGUGUAGGCGGCUGGCUAAGUCUGGUGUGAAAGCCCGGGGCUCACCCCCGGAAGUGCGCUGGAAACUAGUCAGCUAGAGUAUGGGAGAGGGAAGUGGAAUUCCUGGUGUAGCGGUGAAAUGCGUAGAUAUCAGGAGGAACACCGGCGGCGAAGGCGGCUUCCUGGACCAAUACUGACGCUGAGACGCGAAAGCGUGGGGAGCAAACAGGAUUAGAUACCCUGGUAGUC
rnacentral:rRNA from 1 species